GAAAUGCGAUAAGUAAUGUGAAUUGCAGAAUUCAGUGAAUCAUCGAAUCUUUGAACGCACAUUGCGCCCGCCAGUAUUCUGGCGGGCAUGCCUGUUCGAGCGUCAUUUCAACCAUCAAGCCCCCGGCUUGUGUUGGGUACCUGCGGCUGCCCGCAGGCCCUGAAAAACAGUGGCGGGCUCGCUGUCACACCGAGCGUAGUAGCAUACAUUCUCGCUCAGGGCGUGCUGCGGGUUCCGGCCGUUAAACGACCUUCAUAACCCAAGGUUGACCUCGGAUCAGGUAGGAAGACCCGCUGAACUUAAGC
rnacentral:misc_RNA from 1 species